ensembl:lncRNA
GGUUCUACACACCCGGCUGUCCAUGGUAGAGGGGCCUAGACCACGCACGAUCAGGGUUAAUCAGGGGCGUUGAGGCGCUCUCCUGUGAUUGGGGAGUCGUUUGUUUAAAAGAUACAAAGUCCCAACGUGCCAUGCAUGCGGUCCCAUAGCUGGAGGUGGGGGUGGUGGUGGGGAGAGGCCCUUCCUCGACUCAUCCUUCCCCUUCCAUUAACACCUCAGGGGACGGGGGCCGACGCAGACGGGACGAAUCCUCAGAAGCGAGUCAACAGAGUGCCCGAUUUGCGGGAAGUUCAUGUCCCACCUGAGGCAACACCUGACGGCACGUCAUAAAGUAGGAAACUUUGCGGAGAAAUGUCUGCUCAUGAACUGGUCCAGUGGACGAGGUAAACUGAGCUGCCGUGUUUGUGACAAGGUGGGCCUGUCCCGCCUGGACAAACACCUGGUGGACCUCCACCAACUUCCUCCAAAUGAGGUCGAAGAGCAGAUGCUACUGCAGCUUGUUGUGGUGAAGCUUGGGGAGCUGAGGCAACAAGGCCCACUUGCUCGAUGGUGUCUUGGUUGGAUCUACCCCGCUCAACCCCCAAGCGCUCUCCAUUGGCCCCUCCCCCACCUUCCCCAGGACCAGUUGCCACUGGAUUCCUGGCUUCCUCCCCAUCCACACCUGCCAUCCAUCCAGUCUACUCCUGCAUGUCAUGCAGUGCACUGGAGAAGAGAGUGGAAGGGUUGGAGCUAUUAGUAGGUAAUCUGCCACGGUGUCCCUGCAGCUUGAUAACAGCACAGGCCACCUCUUCAGCCACCCUUGCCAGCCCCAGCCCUGGAAACACACACAGCCAUGACACGGAGACCCCGGCCACACCAAGGUCACCCGUGUGCGCAGUGACACUGAGCACACAGCCCGAACCCGCCGUACCCUUUUCAAUGCAAUUGUUCUUGCAAGAGGACCUCCACAGUUUGUUCUAUGACCAAACCAUGUCACCCACAUCCACAGACGCAUGCAGUGUAUCACGUGAUACAACUGAUCCAAUUGGCUAACUUGUGUUCCAUUGUUGAUAUGUUCCAUUGUUUUGUUGAUAUGUUCCAUUGUUGUUAUGUUAAUAUGUUCUAUUAUUGAUAUGUUCCAAUGUUACAUUAUUAAUAAAUAAAUGUUUGAUUGUUGAC